GGCUACGGAGCUCAUUUCGUUAGACCACUUCACUCAUGACGAUGGGGUCACAGGUUGGAAUCCAGUCGUAGCCACCA
rnacentral:tRNA from 1 species